CGACAGAGCAAAUUAAUGCAAUUUUUUCGUUAUAAUAAUAUCGCCAUCUAACGGCGAAUUUUAGAAUCGACUGACGGUUAUAAUAUCGAACACUAUAAACACGAAUCUGGCGAUGUGCCAGUUCACUUUUUAUUUCAUUGAUUCAUUACGUAUUGUUACAAUAGUAAUAUCUGUCAUUACACUUAUAUAACAUGCAUUUUUUUACAAUAAUAAAUGCCAUGACAAGAGCUGACUUAAAUUAUGAUAAGAAUAAUGUUCUCCGCUUAGUUUCGCAAUGCCAGCAUACGCCAAUGAAGCGACUUAAAAGAUUAACAUGGCUCCAUCUGUGUGUUAUUCAACGAAUACAAUAAUGAAUACUUCAUAACAAACAUAUUUUUGUUUUGGGACGGCAGGAGAGUUUUAUUUACGUUUCCGGAUAUUACAAUUGAGCGCGGAUCAAUAACCAAUAAAGUGAGCCAUACUUCAAUAACCACGACAGGAUCAAUAUUAUCGACAAAUUAAAAUUAAAAGCCUAUGAUUUGGCAUUAUAAAUAUCGGCGUGUAGAAAAAAAUUAAAUACUUACACGGUAUCAUUUUGGAUGAACAAUUCGCAUCUUUCCUUUAUCAUAUUAUUUUUCAACCACAGAACAAGAUCGCCAAGUGUCCCUGGAAUAAGCAUUUUAUAAAAGAAAAAAAAAAGAAAAAGAAAAAGAAGGAAAAAAGACAAUUUUAACAAGAGCGUAUAUUAUAAACAAGAUUAAGCUCUUACAUAUUCGAUCGCCAGAGUCGGUGGUCGUAAUGUCAGAGUCGGCGGAGCCGGCUAUCGACACCGUGGAAGUCGCGGUCGGAUUCGAGCAGCGGGAGCAGGAGCCCGAUAAACGGGAUCAACUCGCUGAGAAAAUUGAGUCCACCGACGUCGGGGCCAUCGCUGGCAUCAAUGACGACGAUAACGACGACGAUGGUGACGAUGGCGAAGGCGAAGGCGAAGGCGAAGGCGAAGG